AUGAAUUUCAGGGUUUCCAGUGUGGUUGGAUGUAUUGAUUACACACUUUCCAGCAUCGCACCUUCCGAAAAUGAAGCUGAUUACUGUAUGGAAUGGAAGGAUGCCAGAUGGAAGGGUAGUGCAAGAUAUAUGCCGCAAGCACCACCACAGCUGUUAAAUAAACACAAAUUAUUGACAGUUUAUUUGGUCAUCUUUAUGUUCAACAAAUACAAAAGCAACAAAUUAUUUUUUUUUUCCCUGUUGGAUUUUAAUAUUGGUAUUGUGGCCAUCUCCUCUUCAUCUCUCAGUGAUGCUGGUGCAGGUUCUCCUCCCAUUUGACAAGUCUCUGCCUUCUUGCUGUUAGAAGUCGAACGUUUUUCAUUACCCUAAUUAAGAAAUGUAGCAUGUUGGAUUAGACUAUGUGGAAAAAGCUGCUGAUACACACUGAAUGAUAUUUAUUGCAUGACAAAUAUUUGUAAAGUCAUGUAACGUUAACCUACACCCCAUUCACGCUUGAAUAUUUACCUGAUAUUCCGUAGUAUGCGGCAGUCUUUGUGGUGGGAGCUGUUGCCAUGGUGAAUCAUAAUUUCAGAGCUCCAUUGAUCAUAGCUUUUCAUAGUCGUGGUGCAUGCGCUAAACUAAGAGUCAACCUACUUGGAAUGAAUUGAACUAACGAUGUUCAGCUGUUCUGAAACCGAAAACUCAGAGUUUCCAAUCUCAGGGUAAGUCAACUCAGAGUGUGUUGAACCUCCUUUCUGGAAUACACCCCAGAAGUUUAAGUGUGAAGUAUUAAAUUUAUACAAUGUGUAAAUAAAGCUCUGUAAAAAAACUACUUAAGUCUUUAGGAAUGUUGUAAUUGUGUUCCACAGAAUAAUCAAAAGUUCUGCAUGCAUUUGUGCUCUUCAUGCACACUUGAACACUUGGGCCAAACACAGAAAAUACAUCAUGUGUUUAUCAAUAUUACAAGAGGUAGAGUGUUGUUUUCCUGAAUAUCAGCAUUACAAAUGUGAUUUUAUGCUAUUUUAAAAAGUUAAUAUUACACGACUUGCAUAUUGGACACCGUAUUAUUAAUGUUGGGAUCCUUCAGAGGCAUAAGUAUUUGUAACUCAUUUUAAGGGGCUUCAGCUCUCAUUAACAUUCAGCCAAAAUAGAGGUUGUAUUUAAAUUUUAGGAUAGUUUCACUUCAACUUUUUCAUACUCCUUCCCGCAAAUACAUUAAAAGUACUAACAGUGUAAAAUUUGUGUAAAUUUUUUUGUGUGGACACAAUCACCCUACAAUGAUAAAAAUAAAUUUGCUCCUUUUUAUUAAAGGAACAUGCCACUUUUUUUGAAAAUAGGCUAAUUUUCCAUCUCCCCUAGAGUUAAACAGUUGAGUUUUACCAUUUUUGAAAUCCAAUCAGCCGAUCUUCGGAUCUGGCGGUAGCACUUUUAGCUGCAGCUUAGCAUAGAUCAGGGGUAGGCAACGUCGGUCCUGGAGUACUGAUGUCCUGCAGAGUUUAGCUCCAACCCUGAAAAAAAACCUCACUUGUCUGUAGCCUUAGUAAUCCUGACUACCUUAAUUAGCUUGUUCAGGUGUUUGAUUAGGGUUAAAGCUAAACUCUGCAGGACAGUGGCACUCCAGGACCGAUGUUGCCUAUCCCUGGUAUGUUUUGAUAUUUUUCCUAUUUAAAACUUGACUCUUCUGUAGUUACAUCGUGAACUAAGACCAAUGGAAAAUGAAAAGUUGUGAUUUUCUAGGCCGAUACGGCUAGGAACUAUACUCUCAUUCCGGCGUAAAAGUCAAUGAACUUUGCUACCAUACCAUGGGUGCAGCAGGCGUAAUAAUAUUGCAUAGCGCCUGAAAAUAGGCUAACUUCCGUCAACAUAACCAACGUGACCACCAGCUUGCACAGGGAAUGUGCCUUGCAACCAUGGAAACAUUUGUGAGAGACUAUUCAGAAGAUAUUUACUUUGGUGGACAUCCUGAACCGUAUCUAUUUGAACCAGAAUACACUGAAGAUGAGCUUUUGGAACGUGAAAGGCGAAAAAAAAGUGGGGCUGAACAGACUGGGGCAGAAGGGAGGAGGAGAGCAAAUUCGAACUGGUGGUGCAUGUGUGGGGCUUGCCAACCCAUGCCGACCGAAAGUGGGUGCCUGUGUUGUAGUGAGUAGGACCAGGUCUUGCCAUCGAUGGCAAGGGUCGAUCUAACUGAUGAGGAAGUGGCAUGUGUUGCAACAUCCGAGGACUUCUUAGUAAUGCUGCAUCCUGCAGUGGUCGAUUAUUAUUUUUUUUUUCGAUUUGACAAAAUAAACUGAAAAACAUCCCAUGCCGAGUGGACCUGACGGCCAGCUAUCGCUAGAGUAAGUGAUUCCUGCGAUCAUUACAAUGCAUGACUCAAAGAUUUACAGUGUGUGACAGGAUUAGCGAAGCCCGUCCUGUUGGAUUGGAUUGGUUGCUAUACGCAUUGAUUAUCUUAUCACUGCGCAGUGAUUACAUAUAAAUUUAGCGGUGAGGUGGUAUGACAUCAUGAGACACGCCCCUUGUUUGCUGCGUCAUUUCUAGUUGCCGGUCAGGUAUGUUUAGUGAUGUUGGCUGAGUGUUACUAGUGUGCUGUGUUUCAUGUUAGUAUUCUUGUUUAGAGCAUAGAUUUGGAUAAACCUUGCGGCUGGUGCUUGGUUAACGUGGUCUCUCUCAACCGGUAAGUGAAACUACUGAAUGCAUUUUAUUAGUGCAAGCUUGAGUUUGUGAUGAUCCAAUUUGUUUGUAGUCUAAAGCAAGCGGGAGAGAGACUGUAAUAGCCCAGACGUUCUGCCUUACGCUACAUAGUAGUUUUGCCCCAUUGUGUGCUGUAUUGCCGACCGAGUGAGCCCACGGGUGCACAGAAUGUUGCGUACCUGAUCGGUCGGGCUUUGAGAGAGCACACGGAUACGGUAUGUGUUUUGUUUAAUCUCGUCUUUCUUUCCAAAGAGCAGGUUAUAUUGUAUUGUUAAUUGCAUUAUAGAUUAUCACGAAUCGGCAGUGCCUUGUCCCCCUUGUGCACGUAUUUAAUCCAGAUCGACAGAAUGAGCUCACAGCUUUCGGCUUGGCUGUGCAUUUAACAAGUAUUACGUUCUGGACAUUUGACUCAGGCGGUAUGUUUUUAAAGCUAUAAUACACUGAUUCAUUUGCUAUUUGAUUUAUUUAUAAUUUAAUUUCAUUACAGGUAGACUUGUUGCGUCUGCGGGCGAUUUUAACUCCUUACUGUGGGGGCUUCGUGGGAAGUAUCGUCCAGAGGCGCUGCUUGCUUUGCCGGUCCUCUAAUAUUAUUGUUGCGUUCCCUUGUGUUUUGUUCUUUUGUUAUUUGAGAAAUGUUUGUAAAAUGGUUGUUUAUUUUCUUUGUUCUGUUUAAUGUUUUCUUUUGAUUGAUUUAUUGUUUGGUAUUUUCUUUAACACUCUUUAUUGUAUUCCGAGUUAUUUUGUGUAUACGAGAGUGUUUACGUUCCUCUUAUUUUUGCUUUUGUGGUUUUAUGUGAUAGCUAAGAGCUUAAGGUGCCCCAAUAUUUAUUUGCUGUAUGCAUCGUUUGCGAUUUAUAUCAGUGAUUUGUCUACCCUCAAGUGUAACAUACCAUCUUGUUGUUACAGGAGCUGAGUGCAGAAGGCGGGGUGGAUUUUGGUGGUGGUGCUACUUCACGAGUGCAGUGUGGAGUGUGUGUGUGUGUGUGUAUGUGAGUGUUUCCACACAGAUGUAACGAAAGUGUGCGGUGCUGUGGAGGCCUAUUAGUGUCCUUAUUCCCAGCUGUUACGCCUCGGCUCCUGCAUCCCCUUCAUACAGUUUUGUUGAGGGUAUUGGCCACCCAUAUCACAUUCAUUGAGCUAUUUAUUCUUUUUUUUUUUUUCUUUUUUGUGAUUUGAUUUGUUGCAUUAAAUUUUAUUUUUAAUAAAAUUUUAUAAUUGUUUCACCCACGUCUUCUGCCAAUUUAUUGCACACGAACCUGUGUUGCCUACGGGCAAGGUAUUAUCUCUGGCUCCGUGCCAGGGUGGCGUAGUCGCUCCAUCUAUUCUGACAACCCUCUGUGUCCUGCCACAUUCUGGCGUAGUCGGCAGGAUUGUGCUCAUUUGGGUGAAGACGUGGGUAUUUAGUAGUGUUUGUGUUUUUGUUUGUUUUUUUUUUGUUAAGGUGAUUUGUGAGUAUUGUUUCUGUGUUGUGUUCUAUAGUUUUUUUUUUUUUUUUAGGCAAAGCGACAGCGUCUGCUGGAUUGUGGUGAGCCGCGUUCCCCAUUUUGGUAACAUUAUUCUUCCUGGUA
ensembl:lncRNA